rnacentral:tRNA from 1 species
AUAUUUAAAUAUAAUUGGUAUAAAUAUUUAUUGGUAAAUAAUAAAUAUAAUUUAUAUAUUAUAUAUAAUAAUUAUAUUAAAUAUU